rnacentral:tRNA from 1 species
UAAUUAAUGAACUUGUAUAAGUGUAUAUUUUGAAAAUAUAAAAAAGGGGGAAUCCCCUAUUAAUU